rnacentral:rRNA from 1 species
AGAGUUUGAUUCUGGCUCAGGAUGAACGCUGGCGGCGUGCCUAACACAUGCAAGUCGAGCGAAGCACUUUACUUGAUUUCUUCGGAUUGAAGGUAUAGUGACUGAGCGGCGGACGGGUGAGUAACGCGUGGGUAACCUGCCUCAUACAGGGGGAUAACAGUUAGAAAUGACUGCUAAUACCGCAUAAGACCACAGCACCGCAUGGUGCGGGGGUAAAAACUCCGGUGGUAUGAGAUGGACCCGCGUCUGAUUAGCUAGUUGGUAAGGUAAGGGCUUACCAAGGCGACGAUCAGUAGCCGACCUGAGAGGGUGACCGGCCACAUUGGGACUGAAACACGGCCCAAACUCCUACGGGAGGCAGCAGUGGGGAAUAUUGCACAAUGGGGGAAACCCUGAUGCAGCGACGCCGCGUGAGUGAUGAAGUAUUUCGGUAUGUAAAGCUCUAUCAGCAGGGAAGAAAAUGACGGUACCUGACUAAGAAGCACCGGCUAAAUACGUGCCAGCAGCCGCGGUAAUACGUAUGGUGCAAGCGUUAUCCGGAUUUACUGGGUGUAAAGGGAGCGUAGACGGAGAGGCAAGUCUGAUGUGAAAACCCGGGGCUCAACCCCGGGACUGCAUUGGAAACUGUUUUUCUAGAGUGUCGGAGAGGCAAGUGGAAUUCCUAGUGUAGCGGUGAAAUGCGUAGAUAUUAGGAGGAACACCAGUGGCGAAGGCGGCUUGCUGGACGAUGACUGACGUUGAGGCUCGAAAGCGUGGGGAGCAAACAGGAUUAGAUACCCUGGUAGUCCACGCCGUAAACG